GACGAACGCUGGCAGCGUGCUUAACACAUGCAAGUCGAACGGAAAGGCCCUGCUUUUGUGGGGUGCUCGAGUGGCGAACGGGUGAGUAACACGUGAGUAACCUGCCCUUGACUUUGGGAUAACUUCAGGAAACUGGGGCUAAUACCGGAUAGGAGCUCCUGCUGCAUGGUGGGGGUUGGAAAGUUUCGGCGGUUGGGGAUGGACUCGCGGCUUAUCAGCUUGUUGGUGGGGUAGUGGCUUACCAAGGCUUUGACGGGUAGCCGGCCUGAGAGGGUGACCGGCCACAUUGGGACUGAGAUACGGCCCAGACUCCUACGGGAGGCAGCAGUGGGGAAUAUUGCACAAUGGGCGGAAGCCUGAUGCAGCAACGCCGCGUGCGGGAUGACGGCCUUCGGGUUGUAAACCGCUUUCGCCUGUGACGAAGCAUGAGUGACGGUAAUGGGUAAAGAAGCACCGGCUAACUACGUG
rnacentral:rRNA from 1 species